CAGGCAGGUACUCUCAGCGAAGGCGGCAGGCACCUGGUGGGACAGAGAGGUUGUUUUUAAGACACUUCCGCUCCUCACAGUAACUCUUUCUAAAGGUUAAAGAAGGUGUCAGUCGGGUUCCAAUGAGUGUUUCUUAAGGUUCAUGGUACUGGGGAAGGGUCAAACUACCACCAGGGUCAAACUACCACUCUUGGAAAUAAUGAGUGUUUCUUAAGGUUCAUGGUACUGGGAAAGGGUCAAACUACCACCAGGGUCAUAAAACUACUCCUGGAAAUAAUGUGUGUUUCUUAAGGUUCAUGGUACAGAAGAAGGGUCAAACUACCACCAAGGUUAUAGAACUAUCCCUGGAAAUGCCCUUAACUCCUACGAAAGCCUUGUCAAAUAUGUGUUCUUGGGCGACGAAAUAUUUAAAAAUACGACCCUAGAGUUACUGGCUGGUUCUUACGUAAUGGAGGAUUUUCCAAACUGCAUUUAAAGUUCAAACCCCUCGACAUGAUAGGGAGGAAAACCUUGCUUCUUUAAAAGGGUUCUGAGUGAGGUACUACUAUUGUGUUUCAUUCAAAUAAUUCAAAUAAUAUUGUAUGGAAAUUUAGCACAGAAGGGGUGAUGAUAAUGGCGAGAAGGGGCUGUUGGGGAAAUCAGUAAUCUAUGGAGAAGGAAAGGCGGAAAUAAUGUGUGUUAACUUGAAGAAUAAAACAGAGGAAGUAUGAUGUUAGCAACCUUUGUACAGGUAACUCUCGAUUUACGCGAGUUUGGUUUACGCGUUUUUGAAAUAACGCGGGGUCCAAAAUCCAAAAAAAAAAAAAAUUAUUUACACGUUUUUUCCACUUAUACGCGAUAUUUUAUGGAGUGGCCACCAGAUGUCUCACGCAACUGGACUCUCAUAGCGCUGCGGCCACACAGCAGAGCUCAGUUCUUCUCGCGCGCCACUUGAACAACAAUACAGUACCCACGCUGCCACGCUACUCAACAAUAGGGGUGGGCAGUUACCGGUACUAACGGUACUAGCUAUAUGGUACAGUACCGGUACCAGACUGCUCGGUACCGGUACCAAUACUAGCUAGCCACUCAUUGUGUCCCUCAUUUCUUCCUCACACGAGUGAGGCUGAGACUGAGUGCCUGAGUGGAUAUCUCGGUGAUAUGGAUAUUCUCUCUCUCUCUCUCUCUCUCUCUCUCUCUCUCUCUCUCUCUCUCUCUCUCUCUCUCUCUCUC